UACGUAGGGUGCGAGCGUUGUCCGGAAUUAUUGGGCGUAAAGAGCUUGUAGGCGGUUUGUCGCGUCUGCCGUGAAAAUUCGAGGCUCAACCUCGAACUUGCGGUGGGUACGGGCAGACUAGAGUGUGGUAGGGGAGACUGGAAUUCCUGGUGUAGCGGUGAAAUGCGCAGAUAUCAGGAGGAACACCGAUGGCGAAGGCAGGUCUCUGGGCCACUACAGACGCUGAGAAGCGAAAGCAUGGGGAGCGAACAGG
rnacentral:rRNA from 1 species